GGGCAAGGAAAAUAUUAGGUCUCAUAGCUGUAAAAAACACUUCACCAUUAAAUGAAUCCGUAACAGGGGAACUAAAUAUUGGUGAUGAGGAUUAUGACGAUGAGUUACAAAAUGAAAAUAAAAAUCCUGUUGUUGAUUAUAUGGGUAAACAAAUAAUGGAAGAAUCGGUUAAGUGCAUUGAAAACACUAAUAAUAUUGAGACUGCAGAAAAAAUCCAGUUUUCCAACAAACAGCCCAAUGUGUCUUUAGUACCCUAUUACGAAAGUGAUAUGACAUUGAGUGAAGAUGAACAAGACAAUACUACUCAACUUUCUACUACGGAGGCGACA